rnacentral:lncRNA from 1 species
AUGCGUGUUUUUCUGCUCCAUUUUACAAGAAAACGGCAAGACUCGGGCCAGCAACCACCACCCAGCAAAGCAGGAUUGCUCAGAAGAGGAGCCAAGAAGGUCCAGGGGUUUUCUCUGAAGUUUGAAGAGGAAGCACAACAACUUCCCAGAAAACUUUGAGAGGAAAGGGUCAGGCUCGCCGAGACAUCUCCCUUUGAUAACACAGUAAUGUUUGUUUCAACCAUCAAUCACUUUGUCUUGCUUCUUUUAAAACCCUUUUUAUUAUGGACAUAUGCAAAUACACGCUGCUAUGACUCACGUAACUUCAGUGGUACUUCUGCUGUAA